rfam:Branchiostoma floridae genomic scaffold BRAFLscaffold_177, whole genome shotgun sequence.
AACCCGGCCCUUUUCAGGGCCACCUACAUAUCCCAGAAAGAUCUAU